rnacentral:tRNA from 1 species
GCGGGCAUGGUGAAAAGGUAUCACUCCUGCCUUCCAAGCAGACGGUGCGGGUUCGAUUCCCGCUGCCCGCU